rnacentral:lncRNA from 1 species
GUCAGAAGGAGGAAGUGUGCUGCCUCAGUGGGAACAGCGGAUGACUCGGGGCAGAAGUCGGGAACCGGGUUCAGAUGAAGAUGCAGGUGCUAGCACGGGGCUAUCGGGGAGGAGAAGAAUGGCCUGCGGGCGCCGGGGUGUGGGACAGGCUGAGGAAAACCGGCGAAGGCCCCUCCUGGCCUCACCGGACCCUGCGACCGGGCCUGAGGAGGUGAUGGGCGCGCAGGGGGGCGUCACGCGCUUGCAGACGACGGAGAUACGCGGCGGAUAGGGGGGAAGAUGGAAGGCAAGCUCACCUUCUUCACAGCUGGCUGGAAGUGAAAGUCACCGGCCUCCUUCAGGUCCAGCCAGAUCAUGGGCAUGCGGGGCACGGCCUCCAUGGCGGCUGGCACCCGCCGGCCACCCGGCCACUCCCGUAGCUGCUGCAGCUGCUGGCUCAGCCACGAGCCCAGCCCCGCCCCUUCGUGCCGGAAGUCACUGGUCACGGGAGGGAAUGAAAAAUGCCAGCGGCCUGCCGGGAGUUGCAGUGAACCCAGCCACCCGCUCGCGUAGUCUUUUGCGCAGGCGCUGUCCCUGUUGCGCAUGCUCAGUCUUCUUCGCGCGGAGGGAGUAGGGCGGGGAGGAGCUCGCCAGCCCGAGGCGAAACGGCUUCUGGGAUAGUAGUCUUCAUCCACUAAACUGAGAGGCGCGGAGCGAGCUUAUUCCCCGCUCCCGGGCCAAGCCCAGCUGCGGGUCCCGCCCGCCGCGCUCCUCCCUCCUAGGAAGAGCAUGAGACCUCACCUAUGAACUUGCCCUCCCACGUAUUGUCAAGAGCCGUGGAGGACUGGUGCUGUGGUAGAGAUGACGUGGCGGGCGGGCCGCUGGAAAGAGAUGACGCGAAAACGGGCCUUAGAGAGGGUGCGGAGGGAGCACCUGGCCUGAAGGAGUCGGGGCUGAGAGCUGGGGGUUUCAGUCCCAGUGCUGCGAAGGCUUUCGAGCUUUGGAACAGAAUCACUGACCGGAGACUGGCCUACUCAGCCCAGCCUGGGAGGCCGGGCAGUGCCCAAGGGAGACGGACGAUAGGGAGGGAGCGCCUGGAUGGAGGGUCUCAAGCGGAGUGAGGAGGCCCCGGGCCCUGUGGGGAAGUGGGUGGGGGAAGGUAUACGGCCAGGUGAGCACCCAGGGACGCCCACAGUAUCUGGAAGGAGACCACGGAAUGGAGAGCACCUGUUGCCUCUGGAGAGGGGACCUAUAGAGCAGGAAUUGUUAAAUCAUAUGGCUGUAUCACCUACUUUUAGAAAUAAAUAAUAGGCUACUCGGGAGGCUGAGGCUGGAGGUUCAAUCGCUUGACCUGGGAGGCGGAGAUUGCGGUGAGCCUAGAUCUUGCCACUGCUCUCCAGCCUGAGCGACAGAGCGAGACUCCGUCUCAAAAUAAUAAUAGUAACAAUAGAAAUAACAGAGAAUGGCCUGGAGAUAGUGAGUGCAAAAGUGCGAGCUGGGAGAUCAGUGAGCCUUUUGUAGUCUUCCAGGAGACAGGUGAUUGUGGCUUGGAGCAGAGGGAAGUAAAAAGUGAGCAAAGAAAUAUUUUGCCCACUUUGAGAAAUAUUUGAGGAAUAUUUUGGAGACAAAAGUAUCAGAACUUGGAAUGGAUGGAUGUAAGGGCAUGAGGACGUCGAAUAUGAUUUCCAAGCUUCUGGCUUGUGCAGGUGGGUGGCUGUGGGGCUGUUUACUGAUAAGGGAAAACAAGGGAAGAGCAAAGGUUCAGGUCCGUGUUAAGCUCGAGGUCAAGGCCUUUGACUCGUUCUGGAUGAAAUGUGGAGACCACGAUGCCGGGUGCGGUGGUUCACGCUUGUAAUCCCAUCACUUUGGGAGGCCGAGGCGGGCGGAUCGCUUAAGCCCGGGAGUUCAAGACCAGCCUAGCCCACAUGGCCAAACCCCGUCCCUACAAAAAAUAUAAAAAUUAGCAGGACAUGGUGGCUCAUGUACGCCUGUAGUCCCAGCUACUCAGGAGGCUGAGGCGGGAGGAACCUUGAGCCCGGGAGGCAGAGGUUGCAGUGAGCCGUGAUUGUGCCAUUGUACUCCAGCCUGGGCGACAAAAGUGAAACCAUGUGUUAAAAAAAAAAAAAAGAAAAGAAAAAGAAAAAUUAUGGAGACCGUGGGAUGUGGGUGGGAUCUGGGAUUCUAAGACAGGCUUCACCCACAAGGUAGAGCCCAGGUCCCUUUGUUGUGAGACCUCAAACCCUUUCAAGACUUAGUCAAGGGCCUAGCUUCAUUCCAGUUGGAGUUAGAGCAGAAGAAAAUGAAAUUACAUGAAUGUUCAUAGCAGUACCAUUUCACAGUAGCCAAAAGAGAAGCAAUCCAUGCAGUGAUGGAUGGAUGCAUGAAUAAAGAUGAUGUGUGUACAUACAAUGGAAUAUUAUUCAGCCUUAAAAAGGAAUGAAAUUCUGUUACAUGCUGCAACAUGAAUGAACCCUGAAGACAUUAUGCUAAGUGAAAUAAGCCAGUUGCAAAAGGACAAAUACUGUAUUCUGCUUAUCUGAGAUACCUAGUUAGUCAGAGUUAUGGAGACAGAAAGUAGAAUGGUGUCUGUUGGGCUAGGGGAGGGGAGAAUGGAGAGUUACUGUUUAAUGGCUGUAUAACAAUCUGAACAAUUUAAUGCCACUGAACUGUAUGCUUGAAAUUGUAAACUUUGUGGCUGGGCACGGUAGCUCACACCUGUAAUUCCAGCACUUUGGGAGGCCAAGGCGAGUGGAUCGCCUGAUUUGGGAGUUCAAGACCAGCCUGACCAACAGGGAGAAACCCCAUCUCUACUAAAAAUGCAAAAUUAGCCGGGCCUGAUGGUGCAUGCCUGUAAUCCCAGCUACUCGGGAGGCUGAGGCAGGAGAAUCGCUGAACCCGGGAAGCGGAGGUCGCGGUGAGCCAAGAUUUGUGCCAUUGCACUCCAGCCUGGGCAACAAAGAGCGAAACUCUGUCUCAAAAAAAAAAAAGAAAAAUUGUAAACUUUGUUAGGUAUAUUUUACCACAGUUUAAAAAAAAUAAAAUAUAAGACCUUGCAAAUAAUUUAUUUAAAGAGAAAGAAAAAUUUUGCCAGUUCUUCCAGCAUCUUAGAAGAGCUUGUUUCUGGAAGACUUUUUUUUCUUUGAGACAGAGUCUUGCUCUGUUUGCCCAGGCCAGAGUGCAAUGGUGUGAUGUCGGCUCACUGCAGCCUUGGCCUCCUGAGCUCACUCAAUUCUCCAACCUCAGCCUCCCUAGUGGCUGGAGUACAGGCGUGUGCCACCAGGCCUGGCUAAUUUUUUCUUGUAUUUUUUGUAGAGAUGGGUUUUUGCCAUGUUGCCCAGGCUGGUCUUGAACUCCUAGGCUCAAGCAAUCUGCCUGUCUCAGCCUCCCAAAGUGCUGGGAUUACAGACAAGAGCCACUGCGCCCAGCCUGGAAGACCAUCUUGAGGUCACCUGGACAGAGAUAGAGAAAUUUUGGGCAAAGCUGGGCAUGGUGGCUCACGCCUGUAAUCCCAGCACUUUUGGAGGCCAAGGCGGGCGGAUCACUUGAGGUCAGGAGUUCAAGACCAACCUGGCUAAUAUAGUGAAACUCCACCUCUACUAAAAAUACAAAAAUUAGCUGGGUGUGGUGGCGUGUGGCUGUAGUCCCAGCUACUAGGGAGGCUGAGGCAAGACAAUCGCUUGAACCUGGGAGGUGGAGGUUGCAGUGAGCCAAGAUUGCACGACUGCACUCCAGCCUGGGUGACAGAGCAAGACUCUGUCUCAAAACAAACACAAGAAAGAAAGUAUGGGAAGGCCUACAACCUGCAAAACUGCCCGAACACAAUUUGUAGUAAGUAAAAUACAAAAGCAUAAAGCAGCCUACCUUGGGGCUUUCUGAUGGUGAGGCAGUGGUCAGCCAUGAGGGAGCUGCAAGACCUAGGCACAACAGCUGAGUCCAGAGCAGGCUGGGAAUUGGGAGACUACAUCAUAGCAUUACUGAGCAAAGAAGCAGGCGGCUGCUUGGCCACAGGACACAGACAGCCCAGGACCCAAACUUGAGGCCAGCAAGGGGUCAGGAUUAAGCUGUUGCAGUUCAGUAUGGGCUGGAACAGGAAGUGAGAGAGGAAGGGGAGAAGUAGGAAGCCCUAAAUUGGGCCUUGCAAGACAGAGAAGACCUAUAGAGAUGGGCAUUCCAGGCAGGUGGAAUUGCAGAUGCAAGAGGGAGCUCUGGCGAGGCUCCAGGAUUCAGGAGAGCUGGGCAGAUGGGUCCCUAUCUCAUGAGCUUCCUACAGUGAUAGCUUUGGCCCUACUGCCUUUCCUUCCCCUGGCCUCUACUCCCGAGGUGGAAUGGGAACACCUUGUCCCCACAUGGUGCUUCUGGAGUUGAACUACAACAAAAGAAAUAAAGUAUUCUGUGAGUUCCAGGGUGUAUUCAUUUGCUAGAGUGGCCAUAGGAAAGUACCACAUACUGAGUAGGUUAAGCAGAAAUGUAUUUCCUCACAACAGCCUCCCCAUCACACCCAGCAGAGUUGGAUGGGCCCUUAAAAACACACACACCCUUCCCCAUUUUACCAAUGUAGAAACCCAGGCCUGGACUGGGGAGGGGACCACCCAAAGUCUCAACAAGUGAAUAUACAUGAGUCUGGGCUGCACUUUGGGAGGCAGAGGCAGAGGCAAACAGAUCACCUGAGGUCAGGAGUUCAAGAUCAGCUUUGCCAACAUGGUGAAACUCCAUCUCUACUAAAAAAUACAAACAUUAGCCAGGCAUGGUGGCGGGCACCUGUAAUCCCAGCUACUUGGGAGGCUGAGGCAGGGGAAUCGCUUGUACCCGGGAGGCAGAGGUUGCAGUGAGCUGAGAUCAUGCCACUGCACUCCAGACUGGGGACAGAGCGAGACUCUGUCUCAAAAAAAAAAAAAAAAAAAAAAAAAAAAGAGUCUGGGCUGGGCAUGAGUCUCAUCUCUCUCAGUUCUUUUAUUCAACAAAUAUUUAUUCAACACCCACAGUGUCCUAGACAUUUGUUCUAGGUGCUGUUGAUCAAAACAGGUAAAGAGCUCUGCCCACAUGAGGUCCCAUUUUAGGGAGGGACAUAGACAUUAACACAAUAAAGAAUAGACAGUAUGUUAGAUGGCAACAACUGUUGUGGUUGGA